UACGGAGGGGUCAGGCGUUGUCCGGAAUCAUUGGGCGUAAAGCGCGUGUAGGCGGCUCGGUAAGUCUGCUCUGAAAGCCCGGGGCUCAACCCUGGGAGGCGGGUGGAUACUGCUGAGCUAGAGUCCGGAAGAGGCGAGUGGAAUUCCUGGUGUAGCGGUGAAAUGCGCAGAUAUCAGGAGGAACACCAAUGGCGAAGGCAGCUCGCUGGGACGGUACUGACGCUGAGACGCGAAAGCGUGGGGAGCAAACAGG
rnacentral:rRNA from 1 species